rnacentral:rRNA from 1 species
AUUGAACGCUGGCGGCAUGCCUUACACAUGCAAGUCGAACGGCAGCACGGGUGCUUGCACCUGGUGGCGAGUGGCGAACGGGUGAGUAAUACAUCGGAACGUACCUUAUCGUGGGGGAUAACGCAGCGAAAGUUGCGCUAAUACCGCAUACGCCCUGAGGGGGAAAGCGGGGGACCGUAAGGCCUCGCGCGAUUAGAGCGGCCGAUGUGUGAUUAGCUUGUUGGUGAGGUAAAAGCUCACCAAGGCGAUGAUCAGUAGCUGGUCUGAGAGGACGAUCAGCCACACUGGGACUGAGACACGGCCCAGACUCCUACGGGAGGCAGCAGUGGGGAAUUUUGGACAAUGGGGGCAACCCUGAUCCAGCAAUGCCGCGUGAGUGAAGAAGUCCUUCGGGUUGUAAAGCUCUUUUGUCAGGGAAGAAACAGCAGCUCUAACACAGUCUGCGAAUGACGGUACCUGAAGAAUAAGCACCGGCUAACUACGUGCCAGCAGCCGCGGUAAUACGUAGGGUGCGAGCGUUAAUCGGAAUUACUGGGCGUAAAGCGUGCGCAGGCGGUUAUACAAGACAGGCGUGAAAUCCCCGGGCUUAACCUGGGAAUGGCGUCUGUGACUGUAUAGCUAGAGUGUGUCAGAGGGGGGUGGAAUUCCACGUGUAGCAGUGAAAUGCGUAGAUAUGUGGAGGAACACCAAUGGCGAAGGCAGCCCCCUGGGAUAACAC